rnacentral:misc_RNA from 1 species
UGUAGGAGUGAGCCUGCUCGCGAUAGCGGUGUAUCAGUCAACAUUCAUGUCGGCUGAUACUGCGCAAUCGCGAGCAGGCUCACUCCCACA